GUAGGAUAGAAAUAAACUUUAUUAGUUAAAAGUUAAAGGAGGAAUUAAGAGAAUGAUUGGUUUCAUAGGUGAAAUUUGUUAAAUUAGUUAUUUCUUAUGUUAGAUAAUUGAAGCUUUGAAAAUUAGAAUUGAGACUAGGAUUAGAUACCCUAUUAUUUUAAUUGUAAAGGAAGUGAAUUUGAGUAGUAUUAGUUGAGUUCUUGAAACUCAAAGAAUUUGGCGGUAUUUUAGUCUUUUUAGAGGAAUCUGUCCUGUAAUCGAUAUUACACGUUAAAUGUUACUUAAUUUGGUAUAGCCAAUUUGUAUACCGCCGUCAUAAGAUCAUCUUUUUAGAGAAAGAAUUUUCUUAAUAUUGUAAGAUAGAAUGUCAGGUCAAGGUGCAGUUUAUAAUUAAGAAGGAGAUGGAUUACAAUAAAUUUAUUUACAUGGACUCUUGGUUGAAAGGUUAAGAUGAAGGUGGAUUUAAAGGUAAUUUUGUUAAAUUAUGAUAAGAUGAUUAAAGCUCUAGGAUAUGUACACAUCGCCCGUCACUCUCAAUAUUAAGAUGAGAUAAGUCGUAACAUAGUAGUUGUACUGGAAAGUGUAGCUAGAAAGUCAA
rnacentral:rRNA from 1 species